rnacentral:rRNA from 1 species
UACGAUGUCUAGGGGUUCUGAGAGGAAGGUCCCCCACACUGGUACUGAGACACGGACCAGACUCCUACGGGAGGCAGCAGUGAGGAAUAUUGGUCAAUGGGCGGGAGCCUGAACCAGCCAUGUCGCGUGCAGGAAGACGGCCCUACGGGUUGUAAACUGCUUUUGUACGGGAAGAACCGUGCCCACGCGUGGGCGCUUGCCGGUACCGUACGAAUAAGGAUCGGCUAACUCCGUGCCAGCAGCCGCGGUAAUACGGAGGAUCCGAGCGUUAUCCGGAUUUAUUGGGUUUAAAGGGUGCGUAGGCGGGCUCAUAAGUCAGCGGUGAAAUUUUGCGGCUCAACCGUAACACUGCCGUUGAAACUGUUUGCCUUGAGUUUAGUUGAAGUGGGCGGAAUGUGUUGUGUAGCGGUGAAAUGCUUAGAUAUAACACGGAACACCGAUUGCGAAGGCAGCCCACUAAGCUAUUAUUGACGCUGAUGCA